CGCUAAUGCACGCUGGCUGACCUAGAGUACACAAGUUGCAAGGACUCUUCAUGUUGGAUGUCAAACACUUUGAUAAUGGCAUCCUCAACUAGCUAGUUAAAUCCAAAAGGAGACAUGAUUUUGUCACAUACCAGACAGAUUGGAGCUUUUCAGCACUGCAAAUACUUUAGGAUGAUGGACCUUAUAAUCUGGCUAUGGCACCCCUAAUUACCAAUGGAGACAAGAAGCUUUUUGGGACCUUCUUACUAGUUGGAAAUGCUGAAUUGCAAAAUGUAAAAGGAGUGUAUUUGUGUCUCUACCACAACACACACUUUUGAAUAAGAUGUGUGUAUUUAUGAUCAAUGCUUGCCCAUGAUCUACAAUUAAUUUUCAUAUACGAUCUGGAAGGUAAAUUUUCUGGAGUUUGAUGGUCUGGAUGGUACAAGAAUUGUUAUUGUAGAUGCAAUAGGCAGCAGUAGCAUUGACCUGAAGUUGAUGACUCAAAUUAACUUCCGUACUGAAAAAUAUAGGAUUUUCUUUGAUUACUUGUUUUUGUUUGUGUUGGAACUAAAGAUGUUAUUAUCUGAGACUGAUCCCAGGGUGCCAAUUUAAGCUGGAUUUGGGGCUCUAAUGCUCACAACUUGCAUCAGUUGUCUAUCAUAAUCACAGUUUUCUUCUUUGAACAUCCAAAGGAUUUGGGCCUUGCAAGAUGGAACAAUGGUUGUUGAGGGAGGAAAAGCUAAUCAAGCAAGGGCUGAAUUUCCAGAGGAAAUCAACUGCUAGCUUGAUCGGGUUCCAGAAAUAGUUGAAUAAUCUUGUUCCAACGAUAAAAUUAGUAGCUAGGUAAUGAGGAAUAAGAAGAAAGAACACUUGCAGUGGGAUGAUAGUUGCUAUUUUGAACUUUACGGUAAAGCCAAGAGGUGGCUUGAUUACAAUCUGAGGUUCAAUUCAACAAAUCAAGGGCACAGUGUUGAAUUUGUCUUUAUAAAUGUAUAAUUGCUUGCCUUUUUCAGCUCAUACUGCAUAUUCCAGGGCCAGGUUCUGAGACACGUUUUACAUAGUCUUUCUCUGCUGAAUUGCAUAUCCUCCAAUUAUUUCACUUACCAAAAUUUAGGAAAUUAAUUUGACUAGUCUAUCUCAUCAUUCUUUACAACCUCUAGGUCUACAUGCCUUUAUUGUUUGUAAUUGAAGGGACAUCAUUUGAUAAUUUAGACUCCAAAGAUUCAGGAUUUACUGUAGCCAUAUUUUUAUUAAUAACUUAUA